CACGUAGGGCGCAAGCGUUGUCCGGAAUUAUUGGGCGUAAAGAGCUCGUAGGCGGUCUGUUGCGUCCGCUGUGAAAACUCGGGGCUUAACCCCGAGCCUGCAGUGGAUACGGGCAGACUAGAGGUAGGUAGGGGAGAAUGGAAUUCCCGGUGUAGCGGUGAAAUGCGCAGAUAUCAGGAGGAACACCGGUGGCGAAGGCGGGUCUCUGGGCCGAUACUGACGUUUGAGGAGCGAAAGCGUGGGGAGCGAACAGG
rnacentral:rRNA from 1 species